rnacentral:rRNA from 1 species
UGGGGAAUUUUGGACAAUGGGCGAAAGCCUGAUCCAGCAAUGCCGCGUGUGUGAAGAAGGCCUUCGGGUUGUAAAGCACUUUUGUCCGGAAAGAAAUCCUUGGCUCUAAUACAGUCGGGGGAUGACGGUACCGGAAGAAUAAGCACCGGCUAACUACGUGCCAGCAGCCGCGGUAAUACGUAGGGUGCAAGCGUUAAUCGGAAUUACUGGGCGUAAAGCGUGCGCAGGCGGUUUGCUAAGACCGAUGUGAAAUCCCCGGGCUCAACCUGGGAACUGCAUUGGUGACUGGCAGGCUAGAGUAUGGCAGAGGGGGGUAGAAUUCCACGUGUAGCAGUGAAAUGCGUAGAGAUGUGGAGGAAUACCGAUGGCGAAGGCAGCCCCCUGGGCCAAUACUGACGCUCAUGCACGAAAGCGUGGGGAGCAAACAGGAUUAGAUACCCUGGUAGUCCACGCCCUAAACGAUGUCAACUAGUUGUUGGGGGAUUCAUUUCCUUAGUAACGUAGCUAACGCGUGAAGUUGACCGCCUGGGGAGUACGGUCGCAAGAUUAAAACUCAAAGGAAUUGACGGGGU